GGCAGUGGUGGCUUAAUGGUUAAGGCUCUGAGUUACUGACUGGAAGGUCGGGCGUUCAAGCCCCAGCACUGUCA